AGGACGAACGCUGGCGGCGUGCUUAACACAUGCAAGUCGAACGCGCCUUAUUCCUUCGGGAGUAAGGUGAGUGGCGAACGGGUGAGUAACACGUGAGCAACCUGCCCUUGACCCUGGAAUAACAGCUGGAAACAGCUGCUAAUACCGGAUACGACCUCCGAUGGCAUCAUCUGGAGGUGGAAAGCUCCGACGGUCAAGGAUGGGCUCGCGGCCUAUCAGCUUGUUGGUGAGGUAACGGCUCACCAAGGCUUCGACGGGUA
rnacentral:rRNA from 1 species